AAAAAAGAACUUUCCAGCAGUUAACCACUUUGUUGGUACUGGACUACUCAGUUUUAGUAACGGCUACAAUUUUGUAUAUUCAUAUUUUAAAUUGUAGUGUCUUCAGAUACUUCAUGAGCAUUCAUAUUAUAAUUUAUUGGGGAGAGUGGUAGGGGAGGUUUCAGAUGUUUUCAUGGAGGAUGCUGCAAAUCAGAGGCAGAUGGAGGAGGUCCCCAACACCAGAGUUCAGCUGGCGACAGGUCAGGGAGGAGCCUUGGUGGAGUGCACCUCAAACCCCGAUGGCCUGGCCCUGGUAAGCUCCUACCACACCCACUGGGCCAGGGACCCCUUAGACCAUAUGGUACUCGCAGAACAGGUGCAGAAGGCUGAUGAAUUCAUCCAAGCAAAUGCCACUUACAAACUGAUGGUCAUAGCUGAGCAAAUCCAACACUUAAAAGAACCAGCCAGGGGCGCCUGGGUGGCUCAAUACAAAGACGCUGACUUGCAUCAUGUAGCUUGUAAUAUAGUAAAAAAAAAAAAAACAAACAAACAAACAAACAAACCACUAAAACCUGGCAACAUUUACUACCUUUAUAAAUGGGAAAGUGGUCAGCAGUAUUUUUCUAUUAUUUCUCCAAAGGAAUGGGGGACAGGUUGUCCACAUGACUCCUUGGUGCCUACAAGCUACAGCAUGACUUGUCCUGAGGACAGUGAGAAGCAUGAUGCUAAAAUCAACAUAAUGGACAAGUUGCUAAGCCAGCCAGUGGCCCUGCCUCCAAGCACUGAACCCACCUUUCAGGGACUCACUCACUGAAAGUGGACUCUGAUAAAUAGCUCUCGCGGCAAGGACCUGUCUCCUUUUUGCCUUCAUUCUCUGAAGGGAGGUGUCAUGAGAAUUGAGGUAUUGUGGGUGAAUCAUGAACUUCUUGAAAAGAAACCCUGUGUGGGGUGCCUGGGUAGC